rnacentral:rRNA from 1 species
GACGAACGCUGGCGGCAUGCCUAAUACAUGCAAGUCGAGCGAACAGAUGAAGUGCUUGCACUUCUGACGUUAGCGGCGAACGGGUGAGUAACACGUAAGGAAUCUACCUAUAAGCGGGGGAUAACAUUCGGAAACGGGUGCUAAUACCGCAUAAUAUCUCCUUCCGCAUGGAAGAAGAUUGAAAGACGGCUCUGCUGUCACUUAUAGAUGACCUUGCGGUGCAUUAGUUAGUUGGUGGGGUAACGGCCUACCAAGACGAUGAUGCAUAGCCGACCUGAGAGGGCGAUCGGCCACAUUGGGACUGAGACAAGGCCCAAACUCCUACGGGAGGCAGCAGUAGGGAAUCUUCCGCAAUGGGCGAAAGCCUGACGGAGCAAUGCCGCGUGAGUGAAGAAGGCCUUCGGGUCGUAAAACUCUGUUAUAAGAGAAGAACAAAUUGUAGAGUAACUGCCACAGUCUUGACGGUAUCUUAUCAGAAAGCCACGGCUAACUACGUGCCAGCCGCCGCCGUAA